GAUGAACGCUAGCUACAGGCUUAACACAUGCAAGUCGAGCGACCGGCGCACGGGUGAUUAACACGUAUCUAACCUGCCCUUUACUCGUGGUUAGCCUUGCGAAAGUAAGAUUAAUACCCGAUAUAAAGGUUGGGGCUGCGUGCCAUUAGGUUGUUUGUGAGGUAACGGCCCACCAAGCCUUCGAUGGAUAGGGGUUCUGAGAGGAAGGUACACCACAUAGGAACUGAGAGCCGGUCCAAAAUCCUACGGGAGGAAGGAGUGAGGAAUAUUGGUGAAUGGGCGUUAGCCUGAACCAGCCAAGUAGCGUGAAGGAUGAAGGGUUAUGGGUCGUAAACUACUUUUAUAUAAGAAUAUGUAUUAUAUGAAUAAGGAUCGGCUAACUCCGUGCCAGCAGCCGCGGUAAUAC
rnacentral:rRNA from 1 species